UACGGAGGAUCCGAGCGUUAUCCGGAAUUACUGGGCGUAAAGAGUUGCGUAGGUGGCAUUGUAAGUCGGUAGUGAAAGCGUGUGGCUCAACCAUAUACACAUUAUCGAAACUGCAAGGCUAGAGGACGAGAGAGGUUAUUGGAAUUCCAAGUGUAGGAGUGAAAUCCGUAGAUAUUUGGAGGAACACCGAUGGCGUAGGCAGAUAACUGGCUCGUUCCUGACACUAAGGCACGAAAGCGUGGGGAGCAAACGGG
rnacentral:rRNA from 1 species